rnacentral:rRNA from 1 species
CCUACGGGUGGCAGCAGUGAGGAAUAUUGGUCAAUGGGCUUACGCCUGAACCAGCCAAGUCGCGUGAGGGAAGACUGCCCUAUGGGUUGUAAACCUCUUUUGUCGGGGAGCAAUUGCCGCUACGUGUAGCGUUAUGGAGAGUACCUGCAGAAAAAGCAUCGGCUAACUCCGUGCCAGAAGCCGCGGUAAUACGGAGGAUGCGAGCGUUAUCCGGAUUCAUUGGGUUAAAGGGGUGCGUAGGCGGACUUUUAAGUCGGCGGUAAAAUCGCGGGGCUCAACCCCGCCGGGCCGUUGGAACUGGGGAUCUUGAGUGGGGCGGAGGUAUGCGGAAUGCGUGGUGUAGCGGUGAAAUGCAUAGAUAUCACGCAGAACUCCGAUUGCGAAGGCAGCGUACCGUGGCGCGACUGACGCUGAGGCACGAAAGCGUGGGGAUCGAACAGGAUUAGAUACCCUAGUAGUC